UACGUAGGGUGCAAGCGUUGUCCGGAAUCAUUGGGCGUAAAGCGCGUGUAGGCGGCUUGGUAAGUCAGCUGUGAAAGCCCAGGGCUCAACCCUGGGAUGCCGGUUGAUACUGCCAAGCUCGAGUCCGGAAGAGGAGUGUGGAAUUCCUGAUGUAGCGGUGAAAUGCGCAGAUAUCAGGAGGAACACCAAUGGCGAAGGCAGCACUCUGGGACGUGACUGACGCUGAGACGCGAAAGCGUGGGGAGCAAACAGG
rnacentral:rRNA from 1 species